rnacentral:rRNA from 1 species
UACGUAGGGUGCAAGGCGUUGUCCGGAAUUAUUGGGCGUAAAGGGCGCGUAGGCGGCCCUGGCAAGUGGAUGGUGAAAUCCCCUCGGCUUAACCGAGGAACUGCCAUCCAGACUGCUUGGCUUGAGACCGGGAGAGGUGAGUGGAAUUCCCAGUGUAGCGGUGAAAAUGCGUAGAUAUUGGGGAGGAACACCAGUGGCGAGGCGGCUCACAAAGCCAUUAUUGACGCUG